AUUGAACGCUGGCGGCAUGCCUUACACAUGCAAGUCGAACGGUAACAGGUCUUCGGAUGCUGACGAGUGGCGAACGGGUGAGUAAUACAUCGGAACGUGCCCGAUCGUGGGGGAUAACGAGGCGAAAGCUUUGCUAAUACCGCAUACGAUCUACGGAUGAAAGCGGGGGAUCUUCGGACCUCGCGCGGACGGAGCGGCCGAUGGCAGAUUAGGUAGUUGGUGGGAUAAAAGCUUACCAAGCCGACGAUCUGUAGCUGGUCUGAGAGGAUGAUCAGCCACACUGGGACUGAGAACCGGCCCAGACUCCUAAGGGAGGCAGCAGUGGGGAAUUUUGGACAAUGGGCGAAAGCCUGAUCCAGCCAUGCCGCGUGCAGGAUGAAGGCCUUCGGGUUGUAAACUGCUUUUGUACGGAACGAAAAGCCUCUUUCUAAUAAAGAGGGGUCAUGACGGUACCGUAAGAAUAAGCACCGGCUAACUACGUG
rnacentral:rRNA from 1 species